rnacentral:snRNA from 1 species
UUACUUACCUGGGCGGGGUCGACGGCCGAUCAAGAAGGGCCGUGGCCUAGAUCAAUGGCUCACAUUGCACUUGGUGAGCGCGUUGGUUUACCAUCUCCCCAAGUGGGAGAGUGGACGUCAUAAUUUGUGAUAGAGGGGGUACGCGUUCGCGCGGCCCCUG